GGUGCACUCUUGGUUGGCUUUGUUUUUGUUACCUUUGUGUUACCACUUGGAUGGAAGAAAUGCUGUGAAAAGAACCAGAAUUGCCCAAGUUGCUGCGACAGAAAACUUCUAUACGACCAAAUGAUUUUGGAAGAGGAAGAAAAUGUACUCACAGAGAUGAUAAGAAAAGCAGCAAAAGAUAAGCUGACCGAAGAAAUGCAGAAGAAACUCAACAGUGAAAGUUGGGGGGAAUGUUUUGAUGUUGCUGAAGAGCUGAUUGAAAAGAAAACUCCACCAGGACACAAGAACAAAAUUUCUUCUUUCGAAAUUCAGGAGCCAGAGGGGGCCACCCUAAUGGAGGAGUCUGUUUCAGAAAAACGCACAACACAAAUGUGAGGAAAUUAUCGUCACUGCGACCAUCUUAUCAGAAUUCAGAAGUUUCAUUUUCAGUUUAUCAAAGAAAAAAAUAUGCCUGUACAUCACAAGUGAAA